CUUAGCGUUGAGGCUCAAGUGUCAUCUGUGAAACAAAGAGAGAAGGGUGUGGGGAAAAGUCUGGUUGAAAGAUGACCAAGAUCUGGGCCUUGAGCAAGGAUGAAUUUUCCCCAACGAUGACAAUGUAGUUUCAUCCUUCAUUCAUCAGAAGAAUGUUGAGGGCCUACUGUGCUUGACAUCGGAUACAUGGAGAGACGUGUGCAGGCAUGGCUAGAAACACAAAGGCCACUUGGGUAUGUAUGGCUGCAAAGAAAUAGAAAACUGGAUUUAUUACCAAGCUGCCGGGCUCCCACUGAACACUUCUUCACUUCCCCCACUUUGCCCGGGCCCAAGACUAAGGGUGUCACCCUCCUGUCGCCACCUUCUCGGAACCACUCACCUCCCUACAAAGAGAGGUUGAUGCUGAUAUUUUUCUGAAAUAGUGACACUCAGUGAGUCCCUGAGUCCAUAAUGACAGCUUCCAUUUCCUCCCUGGACUGGGAACUUGAUGUGCU
ensembl:lncRNA